UUGAAAUGUGCGUAAAUGAAAAAUAUCGUUUACAUAAUGCUCCCCUCCCGAAAUCGAAAUGAAUGCUCCACACGCCACACAAAACGUAACGAAACGCAGAUGCAAAAGCAAACGAGAACGUAACGAACACAAAUCCGCAUCCCAGUGUCCAGGGUAUUCCCUUUCAAAUCGCAUAAUGAAUAGAAUCUCGGAAAAUAGCAAAUUACGAAAAAAACCAAAACAAACUGCACGUUCGCUGCUGUAUAAUACGAAAAUUCAGUCCUACUGGCUACGCUCCGCUCCUCCAACCAAACUCCGUCGCACUUGGACGAGGAGGUCCUCGGCGGAGCACCACCAGAGGUGUGGAUGGCCACAAAAUCCAUUAGGGUCAGGUCUGGAGCGCCCCGCAGACUGAUGAAUUGCCAUAAGUUGACAGUGAGUGGGCCGCAAUCGGUUAUCAAUAAUCAGUACACUGAAAACAAUCAAGAUGCCAGUGCUCGAUCAUUUGUGCAGUAAUUGGGGUCACCAAUUGAAAAGUUUGAAUUUAAAUAUCAGAAAAUUCUCAGUUAGUUGACUGCUUGCUUUCAAUUUUUGCGAGUGUGCCGUACGAAAAUAAAUUGAUUUUCUAGUUGGGAAACUCUAAACUUAAACUUGUAAAAGCUGUGCCAUUUUCGUUUUUGGUCUUUCUUUUUUUUAUUGGAUUGAAAGGGAGCACAAACUUGAUAUGCGUGGGCAUUACAAGAGUGAUGCACCAAAAACACUCGGAUUUCCAUGGGCAGGAAUCUAUGUGUGUGCAUACAUAUGGGUGAUAUAAAGGCUCGGGCGUUGAAUGCCAAAUUCUGGACUCGAAAAAAGUUCAAGCAUCAUUGAAAAACCAGUUAAAUGGGAUAUCUGGAAUCGAAUAUGGCGGAAACGGAAUAAGACAAUAUCUAUAUAUAGAUAAAAAAAGCCAGGGAAAGGUUGAGCAGAAAUAAAAAAAAAUAAUAAACAAUA